rfam:Chlorocebus sabaeus isolate 1994-021 chromosome 10, whole genome shotgun sequence.
ACCCUUCUGUAGUUUAUAAGCAUGGUGACUGAGUAUUCAGCCACACGUGUGAGAUGUGUACCCCUAAACUUUGUUAUGGUGUCACACACUGCCUGUCUGAAA